GACGAACGCUGGCGGCGUGCUUAACACAUGCAAGUCGAACGAUGAAGAAAAGAAUCGAAGCUUCGGCAGAAAUUCAUUUCGGAUUAGUGGCAGACGGGUGAGUAACGCGUGAGCAACCUACCUCUUACAAAGGGAUAGCCUCGGGAAACCGGGAUUAAUACCAUAUAACAUUGCGACGAAGCAUUUCGAUGCAAUCAAAGCUACGGCGGUAAGAGAUGGGCUCGCGUCCCAUUAACCGGAUGGUGAGGUAACGGCUCACCAUAGUGACGAUGGGUAACCGGCCUGAGAGGGUGAACGGUCACACUGGAACUGAGACACGGUCCAGACUCCUACGGGAGGCAGCAGUGGGGAAUAUUGCACAAUGGAGGGAACUCUGAUGCAGCGACGCCGCGUGAGUGAUGAAGGAAUUCGUUUCGUAAAACUCUGUUCUAUGGGAAGAAAGGGACUGUACCAUAGGAGAAAGCUCCGGCUAAAUACGUG
rnacentral:rRNA from 1 species